rnacentral:rRNA from 1 species
UACGAAGGGGGCUAGCGUUGUUCGGAAUCACUGGGCGUAAAGGGCGCGUAGGCGGCCGAUUAAGUUGGGGGUGAAAGCCUGUGGCUCAACCACAGAAUUGCCUUCGAUACUGAUUGGCUUGAGACCGGAAGAGGUAAGUGGAACUGCGAGUGUAGAGGUGAAAUUCGUAGAUAUUCGCAAGAACACCAGUGGCGAAGGCGGCUUACUGGUCCGGUUCUGACGCUGAGGCGCGAAAGCGUGGGGAGCAAACAGG